UAGCUCUGGUUUUUCUUAAGUCAUAUAUAAAUCUUUUGCCUUUUACUAAAGAUUUCUGUGGUGAGGAGUAUCAAUGAGUUUGAGGUAUUUUUGUGAGCUCUGCUCUAACAAAGUU